UUCAGGUGUUGGUGCUGGUCCACUGGCAAGCGCCGGUGGAAUGUCUUCUCCAGAUUAUUCCUUCUCAUAUUCUUAAGACUGUCCAAAGAAAAUGCACUCUUGGAUGCUACUACAUAUGGUGGAUACUGCAUAAAAUGGAGCGGUUGACCCGACAUCUAACACUAGCGACUCAUACCCGUAUAUAAUGGAUUUGGACCUUGCCGAAGAUCUACAUUUUAAAAUGGUAGCAGCUGCACUUUAAUCUUUGGACUUUGGAGGAGAACUCAGAAGUCAGAACCGGCCGGCCGGUGUGCAUGAGCAAAUGAAAAAAGUGCAUGGAUCCCACCUGCGUCACAUGUUGCACUUUCCGACAAGACAAGAUAGAUAAUCUUUGCAUUCAUGUGCUUUGAUAUAUAUUCUGGCAUGGGGGCACCAACACAACACCAUCACACUCUACCCCUGUUGGUUGAGAGCACCUGUUACGUUGUCUGCUUCUGGACCUUCUGCUCUGUUCUCCACCUCAUCACUUGCAUUUGUGGAUUCUCCCCAGAUUUUUCAUUUAACAAUCCUUGUUUUGUAGUAGAUCCAACCUUCAUUAAUUGAACAUAACCUCAAUAUG